GACGUAGGUGGCGAGCGUUAUCCGGAUUUACUGGGCGUAAAGCGUGUGCAGGCGGGGCAACAAGUGGUGUAUGAAAUAUCCCAGCUUAACUGGGACGGGUUAUGCCAGACUGUUGUUCUAGAGUGCGAGAGAGGGGCGUGGAAUUCCGGGUGUAGUGGUGAAAUGCGUAGAGAUCCGGAGGAACCCCAGAGGCGAAGGCGGCGCCCUGGCUCGCAACUGACGCUCAGACACGACAGCAUGGGGAGCGAACGGG
rnacentral:rRNA from 1 species